AUGUUAGCGGCGGACGGGUGAGUAACACGUGGGUAACCUACCUAUAAGACUGGGAUAACUCCGGGAAACCGGGGCUAAUACCGGAUAAUAUUUUGAACCGCAUGGUUCAAUAGUGAAAGACGGUUUCGGCUGUCACUUAUAGCUGGACCCGCGCCGUAUUAGCUAGUUGGUAAGGUAACGGCUUACCAAGGCGACGAUACGUAGCCGACCUGAGAGGGUGAUCGGCCACACUGGAACUGAGACACGGUCCAGACUCCUACGGGAGGCAGCAGUC
rnacentral:rRNA from 1 species